rnacentral:rRNA from 1 species
CAGCCGCCACGGUAACACGUACGUCACAAGCGUUAUCCGGAUUUAUUGGGCGUAAAGCGCGUCUAGGUGGUUAUGUAAGUCUGAUGUGAAAAUGCAGGGCUCAACUCUGUAUUGCGUUGGAAACUGUGUAACUAGAGUACUGGAGAGGUAAGCGGAACUACAAGUGUAGAGGUGAAAUUCGUAGAUAUUUGUAGGAAUGCCGAUGGGGAAGCCAGCUUACUGGACAGAUACUGACGCUGAAGCGCGAAAGCGUGGGUAGCAAACAGGAUUAGAUACCCGGGUAGUCCCUGUCUCUUAUACA